UGUCACCUCUUUGGAUUCAGAUUUAAAUGAAUCAUUUACUUACAUUUUACUCACAUUUGAAAAUCAUUCUACAAACAACAUUCUAAUGGCGUUAAACAACUGCAGAAUCUAAUGAAAACCAGUCUUAACCUCACUGGAAUCUCAUUAAGAAGAGGGCAGCUCUUUUUUUGUGUGAAAUUGUUGGAGAUGAUUUUAUCUGGUUUGGUUUUGUUCGCCUUGCCUAGGAGAGUCGGGGGGCCGGGGGUAGAUAAAAAUCACAGAAUAUGGAUUCACAUACUCAAAAGAUUUUAAAAAUCCUCUUUCCUGAAUUUACAGAUGAAAAAACAAGAGCCUAAAGAAGGGAGGCAACUUUUCCAAAGCCACACAUUAAACCUGUGGCAGUUAAGAGCCAGAACUGUGGUAUCCUGGCCCUCAGCCCCACACCUCUACUGCAAUACCUGGGAUGUGGGCCCAUGGAUUGAUUUAUGGAUUUUGACUAACAUAUCUUCAAUUGAGCAAUCACUCGGAUGAUCGAUUGAACACUCCUUCACCAAACAAGGCUGGAGGCCUGGGAUGGACGCCGGUGGUUUGAGAUAUGCAGAAGAAAUGGGUCCUGCCCUCCGGAACACUCCAGAGAAUAUCAUGGCACUUUAUAACAUCAGUGUCAAUCAGCAUUGAUUGACAAGCCCCCUGGACUUUGGAUGACUUCUCUGAAGCCCCAGCUGUGCCUGGCUGGGCCAUCUCCCUUCUCCACUUGGCCACAGCAUAAACUGCAGUCAAGCCACAGGAGUGACCUCAAGGCCUCAGGCCACUUUUCCAGCCUCAGCUUUUCUUAGGGGCCCAGCCCACUUACAAUAGAAAUUUGCCAAAGACUGGGUUGGUUUCUUUUCUGGGAGCUGCUAUCACUGAAUACAUAAAGAAAUUGAGCCUAUAUGAUUUCAAUCUUCACCUUCUGAUGCUGAUGAAACAGGAUUCUAUGCAGUUUUCCACAGGGAGAAGCAGCAGGCUGAAGUGGCUCUUUAGGGAGACACAUACCUCCACAGGAAGAGCAGUCUAGAUUGUUUUAGCACAUUCCACUUAAGGAUUGCAGUGUGACAGCAGAGAAAAUCCUCUCCAGUCAAGUAAUUGCAUCCAUUUCAUCUUCCCAGCCCUCCUCUAGAUGGGAGGUGGAGGUGUGUGUACCAAUCUCUUAAUUCAGAAAUGAGACAAGAGGAGGAAAAAGGAGUUCCGGAGACUUUGAGUAAAGCUGAUCACCUUACGUAAUGUGAGUGGGUCUCGUCCAAUCAACUGAAGGCUUUAAGAGCAAAGACAAAGGUUUUUCAAAGAGAAAAAGAAGACUCUCCUCAAGACUGUGACAUAGAAACUCUGCCUGAAUUUCUAGCCUGCUGCCCUGCAGAAUUUAGAGUCAAGCCUACAACAUAACUCUUACCUGAAUUCUCAGGCUGCUGACUUACCCUGCAGAUUUUGGACUUGCCAGCCCCUCACAAUCCCAUGAGCCAAUUCCUUAAAAUAAAUCUCUCUUUUUCCCUCUGUAUAUAUUUAUGUCCUAUUGAUUUUGGUUCUCUGGAGAGCCCUGACUACUACACUGAGUGAAGGGAGGGCUUUGCUAAGUGAUCAUGGUCCCAAGGGCAGCCUCUGAGAGCCCGCUCCUUUUGCAGGAUAUUUGAAGACCAGACCUUGAGUCAAAUUCUGCAGCCAAAUUCAAUGCCCAUAAGACUUUCUGCUCAGAAGACGUCAUGCAAAGGGAAUCCCCAGGGCUCUUUAAAUUAGAUCUUCUGUUUGUGCAGACACGUGAUAAAUGUUUUGGGUACAGCCUGGCUCACACCACAUUUUCCACUUUUUGGGUGGAGUCAGUUUUAAUUGACAAGAAGUGCCUUUACAGGUGGACUUUUUUUUUGGUGGUGGAGGGGAGUAGUUAAAACCGAUGCUUUGCAUUCUGUUGGGCAGCAGAAAGAUUGCUUUUUCAAUAAGCAAGCCUUGGGUUUUUCUGAGCCAGUGGUAUGAGAAAUGCCUCUCCUGAAGGCCACCACGCAAGCGAGUCCCCACAGAAGCAUGCCCGAGCUGUCAGGUGCAGGGAGAAAUAUCUUUAGUAAGAGCCGGUCAUGUAAUGAGACUUCCCCACCACAGCAUAGAUGGGCAGAGGGGUUUCCACAAGGACAAUUCUUAAGAAUCUCUGUAAAAACGCAUGACUCCAUCUGUCUCCUCUCUCUUCUUUGGCUUCAGAUGAGCUGAGCCAUUUAAAAAUUCCCCAACAAGGGACCCCAGGCACCAGAAGAAGUGAUGAACAGAUUUUCAAUUUGGCCCUGAUUUGCAUAAAUUUUUUUUUUCUGGCAGUUGAAAUCAUUGAGACUAGAGGCCGGAGAUGGGUAGUAGUGGGUUUUCCCCAUCUGAAGCGGAUUCUUGAUUGGUCUGGAAAGACUGCUGGAGCUCCUGGGUGCAAGGCUCUGACCAGCAGAGCUGGUCAGCAGAGCUGACUGCUCUGGGUGCAGCUUCUCCAGAGAAGGAAGAGAUGGCAAAGAGGAAGGCCUGGGGUUCAGAGAAGGACUUUGCAACCCCAAUGGGGAGUCAGAUCCUCAGGUCUCCUCCUAGAGCGGCUGCCUGGUAACUUUCCCAGUGUCCUUCAGGGAGCAUCUCCUCGUCCGUGUGGCUGGUUUCUUCUGAUAGGAGGCUACCUUGUAAUUUCUCACUGACAGGACAGUGGGGACCCCAGCCAGAGCCUGGGGACUUGGCUGCCUUGGAACCAGAACCUGGCCCCUCAGAGGAGUUGCAGAAUUUCGAUAGAGGAGUGGCAGGAGGUGUACUGGCUGAAGAGGAGGCCCAAGGAACUCCUUUUCAUACAUCAAAACUGAGCUUAUCACCUCUACCCUGAAGUCAUCCUGGACAUCACUGGUCCCAGUUAAUCACUCACUUAUCUUUGCCAUCCUUGACCUGGUGAGUACAGUCUUUAUACCAUUUAUCAAUUAGUUAUAAUAUAUUUAUCAAUUUGUUAUAAUUGGAGAGUUGUAAAGGAUAUUAACCAGGCCCAGUUCAGGCAGUUUACAGGUGUGUGGGCACCCCGUCUGCUAUAGAUCUUUUGGUCCUAGAUUUCUAUAGCACAACGCUUAUCACUUAUUAAGUACUAAAGUUUCUGAUUUUUAUAAACGGAACUGAAAUGAAUCCCAAUUACUGACCUGUGGGACUCCCAGCCCUUUGACAUCUUGGUCCUGCCCAAAGUCAGGAGUACAUUUCCAGAGGGCUCUGCAGUGGGAAAUAGUGGUGGGAGUCUGUGUGUAUUCAGCUCGAUGCAUGCCCUAUGUUAGGUGUUUUCCCUUUUGCAGGCUGGAGUGAGCCCUUGAGCUGACCCAGAAGUUCUGAGCAUUUAUCACCCAGUAUUGAUGACCAUGUAUUUUGCCUCCUCUCUUUAUGCCUAAAGAUGAAGGAAGAAAUACAAGCUCAUGUUACAAAGAGUAUUUCCUGGGUUUAUCAGCUCUCCCCCUCUCAGCUUGAGCUCUGAAUGAUUUCUUAGUUCUCAGCUUUUCUUCCUCUGAUCAAAGUGCCUGAGGCAGUGAGCACUGGGAGGGCAGGAGCAUUUCUGGCUGAGCCCAAUGCUCACCUCUUCUGGGCCGUUUUAGGAAGCUGUGGCCCAGUGUUCUCUGGUCAGACAAGCAUGGCCUGGCUGUGGAAGGGUCUCCAAAGGCUCAUGGGUCCCAGGUGCCCUGGAUUUUGAAGGCAGCUGCCCUGCCUCCACUGGGAGAAGAUUAAAGCCCCCUUUGCCUUUCUUCGUCCCUCCCUUUCCCACUCUGUUCACUCAAUCACUCUUUUCUCUCCAAUGAAUUAAAUGCAGAAAAUCCAUGAGCAGGAUUUCUCUCUUCAAAGGACCAAAUAACCUUCUUUCUAUUCCCCCUAAAUUUUUUUCCAAACUGCAAAAAGAAAACAUGCAAACAGACUUCAAGUUAAAGGUGAGAGAAAGAAAGAAAAAUUGAAGCAAAGUAAUUUUAACUUGAGAAGUAGAGCAGUUUAAACCCAGAAAAAAAAUGUACACUCCGCAAUAUAGUCCUUUCCUACAAAUUAAUUAACCCAAAGUACUUGUUUAAUUAGUGUGAGGGGUAGGGAAUUGAGUAGCUAACAAUAUCUCUCACCCAGUUUAGAAUUAUGUUCACAAAAGAAUUUCUUCUUCUUUUCCUGAAAGGGAAGAGAACGUUGCCCUCAUUGGUCUGGAAUCAGCAGGUACCUCAUGGCUGGAGGUGUAUUUUCAGGUGGGUUGGGACUUUGAAGAGGUGGCUUUUCCUAUGGACCCCUCUGACUCCCCACCUGUGGGCAUGACACAGGUGACCUGGCUGCCAGGGCAGAGGCUGCUUAGCCCUGCUCCAGAGAAACAGAGCUCUGAGGGCUUCCAGAAACCAGGGCUCCUGGCUCCUCAGUCCUUCCCACUCCUCUCUUCCUACUCCCGUGCUGCAUAUAAACUUUUCUUUUUUUUUCAGAUGGAGUCUCACUCUGUCACUCAGGCUGGAGUGCAGUGGUGCGAUCUCAGCUUACUGCAACCUCCGCCUCCCGGGUUCAAGUGAUUCUCCUGCCUCAGCUUCCCCAGUAGCAGGGACUACAGGACCACAGGUGUAUGCCAUUAUGCUCGGCUAAUUUUUGUAUUUUUAGUAGAGACAGGGUCUCACCAUGUUGGCCAGGCUGGUCUCGAGCUCCUGACCUCAGGUGAUCACACGCCUUGGCCUCCCAAAAUGCUGGGAUUACAGGCAUGAGCCACUGCACUUGGCCUGCAUAUAAACUUUUUGAGUUUCCUGCUUUUGACAUGAGCAUGGAUAUUUAUCACUUCUAGAGGCAUUAGGAGAACUCAAGUCCAAGUGCUCAGAGACCUACAGUGCAGCUUAAGACCCUGUCACAGGAAUCUUCGGGGUGGGGGCAUGCACGGGAGUUAUAGAGAGUUGGGGAAGGAUGAGUUCUCAACCAAUGCUUUCCUUUUUUCCACAGACUCCUUUGGCAUCUGGUGAGGCCUGUGGAUUCAUUCUCAGAAUCACAUUUUUAAAUGCACAUAAUAAAAUACAUAGAAUUGCAAAGGAAGUUAAUUAUAUUGAAAUACAGUUAUCAAAAAUAUAAAUAAAACAAGUAUGUGGUACAGUCAUAUGUGUGCUUCUUUAUUAAGUCAUUACAAAGCAAGAUCUAUUUGGAGGUCUAAUAACUGUCAUAUGCUUGAAAAAAUCCUUAACAAUCAUAAUAUAUUAAAAAAUCUGAUUUCUACUUUGGCAAAUCAUAGAUAUUGCUGAAACUGUGGUUUAUUGCCUGCAUUCAUAAUUGAAGGAAAUGCUAGAGUUCAGUGAGAAGGUUGUGAAAAUAAAGAGAGCCUUUUUUUCUCAUCAAG
rnacentral:lncRNA from 1 species